GAGGUAGGAGAACCAAGAAAGAUUAAUGUCAUGACAGACUCAGCAACAGAAAGCUUCAGAUGGAUAGAAGUGGCAGUAAAGACUGUUGAAAAGACGUCUUGUCCACCUUUGUAAGGCUAGGCUAUUCGUGGUGUGAAUGUCAAGGGGCACCUGGGCAAGUUCAAGGGCAGUGCUCAGGGCAUACCAGCAACAAUGGAUUCUCAAAGCACAGGAGGAGGACGAAGGGGACACUCCAGCACAAGCUAGGAUUCCAUGGUGGAAGCAGCUAAGUAAAUGUAUUCUUCCAGUGACCUUCCAUAGAGAUAGUGUCUCUGACCACGCUGAAGCUCAACUGGAGCUGGGCAAGGCAGAGAGGUUCAAAUGAAGGGUGACUCCCACUAUCAUACCAAGCCUCACUGGGCAGCUGUCCUGCUCAUCCUCUCCCUCCUUAAGACAGAAGGUGAAUUCCAUUCGCCUUCCUGCUCUCAAUGAAAAGCUCUCUUUGGGUUCUUUACUAAUCUCGAAACUGUAAAAGUAUUUUCCCUGUGACUUUUCUCCAUUUCAGUGCUGUCUUCUCUAAAUGAGAAUUAAAAGCAAGUUCCCCACACCGACCUCAAGUGGUUUCUAAGAUAGCAAGAGUGCAUUUUGCAGGUUCUGAGAAUUUAAAAGAGACGGGGGAGGGGAGGAAAUAGAGUGAAUGCAGAAAUGCUGGAGAAGAAAACGUGACAUAAUACUGCGGAAUAUUUUCAUAGUGGGGACACAAAUAUAACAAUCAAUAAAGCAGGUGGAAAGUUUGUGCUCUGGUGCAAUUGUAAAGAAUGUUUAUUAAAUACUUAAAAACAAAGAAGAUUUACGUUUCUCGAAAGAACAGCUGAAAAAUCCCUUGAGCUAAAAUGUGUUGCUAUUCGAGAUGCCAUAAAACUGUUAAAAUAUGAUAUCUCAUUUCAAUCUUUUUGGGGGAAAAAAAUCAGGCUUUGACUCACUCGUAAGACAGAUCCCACGCACCCACCCACCAACAUGGCCCUUGGCUGGGCGACCUGCCCACGUGUCGAUGCAAUCGUGCCUCUCUAGAGCCCUGCUUCCAUCCGUUUCCCGAGCUUCAAUGUCGUGACGAGAGACCGCGGCUACAUCAACCUUGGGCAACCAGAUGCAGCCGCGUGCGGCAGCCUGGCACUGCCCGGAGCAUGCUCAGUCGGGUCCUGACCCACUUCUGCAGGUCCGACCUGGGGGCGUGGGGUCAGAGGCAUUACUUUGUCAGUUUGCCAAGAACAGAGAGGAGCAGAGAGACUGAGAGUUGCUAAAGCUCCUCUCUUGGCACAGCAAUCCCUGACCCGGCGGCGGAACAUGCCCAGUCUGGCUGCCGGAGUCGCCAGGAGCAUCAAUGUGCAAAGUCCACCUUUCCGGGUCUUCGCAGCAACCCACCGGGAAGAAGGCGGAACGGGAGUAAAAGGACCGGAGUGGGGCGUGGCCAAGGGGGCGGGCACUAAAAUGCCUGGGGGAGGAGCCUGGUCCCGCCCCAGAAAUUGAGUCUCUCUUUUUAAAAUUAAAAAAAAAAAAAAAAAAAG
rnacentral:lncRNA from 1 species